rnacentral:lncRNA from 1 species
UUUGGCUUUAGAUCGAGCGGCGGCGCUCCCGAAGUCCCGAUCCAAUCGGGACAUGUAGGACGACGGCAGCAGGGCUCCGGAAAGUCCCCGGAAAGUGGGGAACGGCGGGGAGGCGGGGAACGGCGGGGAAGCGGCGGACGUCGCGGCGAGGCGGAUCAGGUCAGGAUCCAGCGCGGCGGCCGGCGCUCCAUGGCUGUGGCGCCUCGAUCUCGUGGGAAGAAGAGACGUGGGAGAGAGAGGAGGUGAGAUGGGGAGAAGAGAAGGCAGAGUAAGGACGGCGCGGAUUCCGGCGGUGGCUCCGGUUGGCGGAUCCAGGUAUGUGUCCCGAUUCCUCUCCUCCCUGUAAAAAACGUAUGUCGCAUCGUCGCUAACUGCUAGAGAUGCCCUUCAUAAGUUCAUCUUGUGGUCAACAACAACCCCCAGAUCGCGUGAGAGUUCAGUGGCAUGGGCAUGCUCUCCCCUGAUUGAUUUUGUAUCAAAGAUUUUGUUGUGGCGUGUGGGCAGCACCCAUGAGUGUUGGAAGUACAUGUUCUAUAUACAUAACAACUUCUCUGGUGACUUACUCAUCUAAUGGUCAGAUACAAUUUUAGCAACAGUGAAUAGCCGCCUGAUAGUUUUGUUAUCUACUUCUGAAUGUUCAUAAUGUGUAAAACGAAUCAAUUUUACUAUGAUUUUACUUGAGAAGUUGAAUCUGCAAAGUCUUGAGAGCAUUGACUAUAUACUCCAACACUGCAGGCCAACUCUUGAUGGAUUUCCAAUGUGCUGGUGGCCUCCGAAUUUUUUUUGUCGUGUAGCCGCUCCCCAUCUCAGCGUGUGCUAUCCACGGAAGCCGGCUCCUCCACUCAGGCCCUCCUCUGCAAACGCCGACGAGGACGCUACUUCAUCUGAACCGAUCUUCACGACCACGUGCAGGUAUACACAUGUGCUCCCCUGCCACCCCUGCACUGAUUUAAGGCGAAAUCCAAUUGAGAGUUAUUGAUAGGCACCAAUGUAUUCUUGGUUCAGUUCCCCUGUCUUGAAUUACGUUGAUCCUUUUGGUAAGAUCAAACUGAACAUGCUGAACAUCACUUGCCCAAACAAGUUGAACGCCUUGCUACAUUAUUGCCCAAUUUUGUAAAAUUGAUCAUAGCACUCCUGCUAUCAUGUCAUGUUUGCUAAUACUUAUUGAGCCAUAAAACAGUGUUUUCUGUUUAUAAGCUAGCCCUUCUUAUUAUGUUUCAGAAGAUCGAUAGUACCCAUUACAUUACUACAGUAUAGUGUAAUAUGAGAAACUGAGUUUUGGUUGCCAAGCAAAUGUUUGUGCUAAUUCCCACAAGAUAUUUGUGUUUGAAGAAUUAUUACUUUAUCAGGGAAAUAUCUUUUAUAUGGCUUCAUGAAAUCAGGAAAUUGAUUAAGCGGCAUAGGAAAUUGAUUUAGCACUACCUCAUUAAACAUGAAGACUUAUUUUUGAUUUCGUGUUGAUGUUUCAGAUGGAAUUUUUUUUCAUAUGACAUCAGGGAUGUAGGAUGAUUGGGUGAACAAGCUUCCUGUGAAACAUCCAGAUCCCGGUGGCGGUGCCUCCAUUCAGCAUCCCACGUGGCGACGUCCUCCGGUAUAAUGGCAAACACCGGCAGGGGAGAGAGCAGAGCGGGAGGGGUAUUGGGUUAAACAGAGUUGUGGGCAUUGCCCGUGCCAUGAUUGUGGUUAAUACCCACAGGAGAUUCUAUUCCUGUGAGCGGAUUAAACAGAGUUGAGUAAACAUCAUCCAUAGGAGGAUACAUGUGCUAAUUAAGUUUAGAGGAGAAAGUGGUUCUUUAUUCUUGCAAUUUUGGUGCAGAUGUCAUACAGGGGCAGAGAACAAUGGUCUUCUGGGAAUGCCUGUUAACUUUUUGGAGCUGCCAGGUAAAUUUUGGUACGAAUUUAUGUUAGUUCUACCUUUCCAUGAUGUUUAAUUGCUUGGUUCUUAAGGGUUUGUAAGAGGAGAUGGAUUUUGGACUACUCUAUUUCGGAUGCCACAGAUUUGCAGAUGAAAAAUAAAAGAGUGUGCAUGGUGUUUUUUUUCUUACAGAAUACUUUUAUAUGCCAUGUUCUAUUUUGCUUCAGAUUUAGGACUAUUUGGUCUGCUACAAAAUCCAUGUUUUCAACUGCAAAAUUUCAGUUUUAUUAUUAUCAUGUUUACUAUUUUUCGGUAGUAAUAUAUAACACGUCGCUGGUGAAAAGCCUACUGGAAAGAUUAAUUAGUCAAUAAUGUUGUCUUAAGAACAAUAGUAUUUGGCUCGAAGUAUAGGGACUGUCAAUUUUUUUAUGCUCCAGAAAAUACAAUUGCAAGGUACAGAAUAGUUGCCACUUAGUUUGGAUUUUAGUUAAAAGUGUAGACAUGUUAGUAACACUAUAAAGUUGGACAAUAAAUGAAGUCGACUACAUCCGAGCGAACUUAUCUUGCUUCCAAGAAGAGUAAAAUCAUCUUUAAUAAUUUCCUGGGUUUUGCUUAUGUUCAUGUUUGGAAUGUCGUUUCCUCCAAAAUGCAGCAUUUACCUAUCAUUUGGAGUACAAGAUGCAUUUUUUAUCAGUUGCUGACUAAGAAAACACUUUUCUGAUAAAAACGCUACCCUUCAGUUAGACUUAAUUAAUUGCCUUCUAGACAUGUUGGGGAACGUAGUAAUUUCAAAAAAUUUCCUACGCACACGCAAGAUCAUGGUGAUGCAUAGCAACGAGAGGGGAGAGUGUGAUCUACGUACCCUUGUAGAUCGACAACGGAAGCGUUUGGUUGAUGUAGUCGUACGUCUCCACGGCCCGACCGAUCAAGCACCGAAACUACGGCACAUCCGAGUUCUAGCACACGUUCAACUCGAUGACGAUCCCCGGGCUCUGAUCCAGCAAAACGUCGGGGAGGAGUUCAAUCAGCACGACAGCGUGGUGACGAUCUUGAUGUUCUACCGUCGUAGGGCUUCACCUAAGCACCGCUACAAUAUGACCGAGGUGAAAUAUGGUGGAGGGGGGCACCGCACACGGCUAAGGAACGAUCUCGAAGAUCAACUUGUGUCUAUGGCGUGCCCCUUGCCUCAGUAUAUAAAGGAUGGAGGAGGAGGAGGCCGGCCAAGGCAAUUGGUGCGGCCAGGAUGUGGAGUCCUACUAGGACUUUCCAAGUCCUAGUAGGAGUCCACCAAGAGGGAAGGAAGGGAGAAGGAAGUGGAGAAGGAGAGGUGGUCGGCCCCCUUUUCCCUAGUCAAAUUCGGACUAGAGGGGAGGGGGCGCAGCAGCCCCUUGGCCCUUUCUCCUCUUCCCACUAAAGCCCAUCAAGGCCCAUUGCUUCUCCCGUAACUACCUGGUACUCCGAAAAAUACCCGAAUCACUCGGAACCUUUCCGAUGUCCAAAUAUAGUCGUCCAAUAUAUCAAUCUUUACGUCUCGACCAUUUUGAGACUCCUCGUCAUGUCCCCGAUCUCAUCCGGGACUCCGAACUCCUUCGGUACAUCAAAACUCAUAAACUCAUAAUAUAACUGUCAUCGAAACCUUAAGCGUGCGGACCCUACGGGUUCGAGAACAAUGUAGACAUGAUCGAGACACGUCUCCGAUCAAUAACCAAUAGCGGGACCUGGAUGCCCAUAUUGGCUCCUACAUAUUCUACGAAGAUCUUUAUCGGUCAGACCGCAUAACAACAUACGUUGUUCCCUUUGUCAUCGGUACGUUACUUGCCCGAGAUUCGAUCGUCGGUAUCUCAAUACCUAGUUCAAUCUCGUUAUCGGCAAGUCUCUUUACUCGUUCAGUAAUACAUCAUCUCGCAACUAACUCAUUAGUUGCAAUGCUUGCAAGGCUUAUGUGAUGUGCAUUACCGAGAGGAUCCAGAGAUACCUCUCCGACAAUCGGAGUGACAAAUCCUAAUCUUGAAAUACGCCAACCCAACAUGUACCUUUGGAGACACCUGUAGAGCACCUUUAUAAUCACCCAGUUACGUUGUGACGUUUGGUAGCACAUAAAGUGUUUCUCCGGCAAACGGGAGUUGCAUAAUCUCAUAGUCAUAGGAACAUGUAUAAGUCAUGAAGAAAGCAAUAGCAACAUACUAAACGAUCGGGUGCUAAGCUAAUGAAAUGGGUCAUGUCAAUUAGAUCAUUCAACUAAUGAUGUGAUCCCGUUAAUUAAAUAACAACUCUUUGUCCAUGGUUAGGAAACAUAACCAUCUUUGGUUAACGAGCUAGUCAAGUAGAGGCAUACUAGUGACACUCUGUUUGUCUAUGUAUUCACACAUGUAUUAUGUUUUCGGUUAAUACAAUUCUAGCAUGAAUAAUAAAUAUUUAUCAUGAAAUAAGGAAAUAAAUAAUAACUUUAUUAUUGCCUCUAGGGCAUAUUUCCUUCAAGACAAACCUUCAAAUAUAUACAAGUUCUCUGAUAAGGUAGUCGUGGGAAGACCAUAUUUUUGGUUUACAAUGUAAGUGUUUUCAGGGACCACAAAUUUGACUUCCUUUUUUUGCUUCCUUUCAACAUUUAGGUUCUAAAUGAGAAGGUAAGGAUGUACUUGAGCAGUAUGAGAAGACCCAGUUCCAUUAUCGCAGAAGCCAGAAGUUUCACAUCUAAUAUCUUUGAUUCUAAAAUUUGUUUAAGAAAAUGGUCAUUCUGCUAUUAACACCACGAUUAUGUCUCAAUUGUAGAUUCUUAAUUGCUUAGAAUUAUUUUAUAUGUUUGAUUCCUUCGUGGUUCAUAUUUAUUCAAAAACAAAAUAUUUUCAAGAUUGGUAUGUUUGAGGAUCAAACUUCGAACAUGCGAAUUGAUGUGGCAUCAAGCUAAGUCUGUUGAUACAUUGUUAUCCUUUUUUGCUUUGCAUAAUCAAUCUUGUCACUGGAGAUGUAUGUUAAUCCUCUAACUUUGCUCAUUU